GGAGCUUGUGGUUUAAUUUGAUGCAAAUUAAAGAAUCUUACUAGGGCUUGAUAUGUCGUGAAUCCUCUUGAAGAGAGGGGCGCCUUCGGGAAUGCAGACACAAGUAGUGCAUAAUUGUCAUCAGCUCGUGCCGUAAGGUGUUGGGUUAAGCCCAGCAACGAGCGCAACCCUCAUACUUAGUUGUCAUCGUUUAGUUUGGAACCCUGAACAUACUGUUUGUGAUAAGCCGGAGGAAGGUGAGGAUGACGUAAAGUCAUCACGUCCCUUAUGCCCUGGGCGACGUGCUAUAAUAACGAAAGCAAUUUGAAAAAUAUUUUGACAAAAUUUGAUUGAAGAUUAAAAAUAAUGUCUAUAUAUUUGG
rnacentral:ncRNA from 1 species